rnacentral:lncRNA from 1 species
CGAUUUCGACCAACCUUAAAAACUGGGCUCAUAAUCAAAAAUCUAAGUACAUGUUUAGAUUCAGCAUAUCAAAGAACCCCAAGAAUUCAAUUUUUGUUAAAAUCAAGCAAAGUUUAAUUUUGGACCCUUUGGACCUUAAUGUAGAACAAUUUGAAAACAGGACCAAAAAUUAAGAAUCUGAAUACAUGGUUAGAUUUGGCAUAUCAAAGAACCCCAAUAAUUUAUUUUUUGAUGAAAUCAAACAAAGUUUAAAUUUGGACCCUUUUGGCCCCUAAUUUGUUGGGACCAAAACUCCCAAAAUCAAUCCAAACCUUCCUUUUGUGGUCAUAAACCUUGUGUUAAAAUUUCAUAGAUUUCUAUUAACUUAAACUAAAGUUAUUGUGCGAAAACCAAGAAAAAUGCUUAUUUGGGCCCUUUAUGGCCCCCAAUUCCUAAACUGUUGGGACCAAAACACCCAAAAUCAAUCCCAACGUUCCUUUUAUGGUCAUAAACCUUGUGUUUAAAUUUCGUAGAUUUCUAUUUACUUUUACUGAAGUUAG